rnacentral:rRNA from 1 species
GCCCGGACAGCAGAGCAUGGAAUAAURGAAUAGGACCUCGGUCCCAUWGCGUUGGUUUUCGGAACUGGAGGUAAUGAUURAGAGGGACUGACGGGGGCAUUNUUAUUGCAGGCCCAGAGGUGGUCCU